rnacentral:rRNA from 1 species
AUCCGUAAGAAUUUAAUUUUGGUUCUGAUUGAACGUUUUUCAGUAGUUUUAAGACAUGCAAAUCAUUAUUAAUAAAAGAUAUUAUUAUAUAAAUUCCAAAUAAAUAAUAUUAAUAAAAAAUAAGGUGUAAGGGUGAGUAUAGGUAGAUUAGAUACCUUAUAGACUCCUUAAAUAGGAGAUUAUUACUUCUUGAUCCACAAAGGAUCCGGUAUGCAAGCUUUGCACAACUCGAAAAAGAUACUUAAAGUAAUAUAAAAUUAAGAAAAGAAAUAUUUUUGCCUAACAAACAAAAUAAAAAGAUAAUCUUUUUAAAAAAUUUCAAUAAAUUAACAGUAGUUAACAAUUAAAUUUUAGUAAUUUUAAAUUAGUGCUAAAGCUCCCCUCUCUUUACAGUUGUAAGAGCGGUCGUGGGCUAAAGUUUAAGGACAAGUAAUAUAAUAAUUUAGCAAUUAUAAAAAGGAAAUUUUCCGCUAUAAGAUUUGAUCUAUUCUGUUUAAAGGUAGUUGGUAGAGUAAAAGCCUAUCCAAGCCUACGAUCAGUAGCUAAGUUUGAAAGAACAAAUAGCCACAUAGGUAAUGAAAUUUUCCUAGUAGUGUUUUUACUACCAGCAGUCAAGAAUCUUAGUCAAUGCUCGCAAGAGUGAACUAGCUAACUGAAAUCGCAUAUUUCGUUAAUGGAAAUGUGAUAAAGUAAGGGAAGAAGUCUGACGUUACCUUACUAUAAGUGUUGUCCAAAGCUGGUGCCAGAAGACUCGGUAAGGCCAGAGACGCAAACGUUAAUCGCAAUAACCAGGCGUAAAGGGUUCGUAGGCAGCUUAAAAAUUUUAAAUUAUAUAGCUAUAUGAUUAAUAUACUUAUUAAUUAUAAUAAUUUUAAAAAUAAUACAAGAUAUAAUCAAAUAGAGGAUAAGUUGAACAAUACUUAGAGUAAGGGUUAAAUCUAUAGAUACUAAGUAGAAUACUCAAGGUGAAAACUUUUUAUCCAUUAUUGAUGGAAGCUGAGGAACGAAGGUUUGAACAGAAAAUAGGAUGUGCGACUUGAUAAGUCUAAUUAUUGUAUUGUAUUCUCAGAAUACAUUAUCUUUCGUCUGAUAAUAGCCAACCUAGACAUGCAAAAGAUUUGAUUUGAAUUUUAUCUUUCCAGAAAUGGUUUUGUGUGAAGCUCUAGGGUAAAGUUAAUUUAAAGGGUAAUCUACCUUGAACAUUUGAAAUUCAAAUGUUUUAUAACGAAGGCUGAUUUCUAAGGUUAGGGAGACCGAACUUAUGUAGUAAAGCUUAUUAAUUAGGCAACUAAUCGUCCUAGUUAGUUGUAGACGAACAAAUAAUUAAUAUUUCAAAGUAAGAACCUAAGGAAAUCUAUCGUACAUAAUUAGAAACAAGGGAACACCUAUAACCUGCAAUUAAUGUUUUUAAUUCUUAAUAUAAUAAAAUUGCUAGCUUAUUCCGUAAGGGUAAGUACAUGGUUAGAGGUAAUAUGAUUUAGAAAAAAGCGAAUGUCUAUUUGUAAUGAAUAGAAUAAGGCUAUGCCUAACCUGAAAGGGUGCCUACUUUCUAAAGGUGCUAUAACAAAUAUAAUAAAUAUUUAAUUAAUAAAACAUUUUUACUUAUUUAAUUUAACCUCUGCGUAGCGCGUAGCAGUAUCGUAGCCUAUUUAAAAUUUAAACGCCCCCCUUUAGUAGUAGUUAUAAAAAAGAUUCUUUUUUUUUUUAUUAGGAUACAUAUUCUUUAUUAAUAUAUAUCUUUUCGGCUGCAGUAGCAAGCGUUUAUAGAAGAAAAGAUUAAACCAACUCCAAUUAAACUUGAACAUGCAAUUCCUACUCCUAUUUAUUUAGCUGCUGCUAACUUAAAAUUUAAGAUAUGUAAUAAUAAAAAUAACGAAUUGUUGCCUGAAAUUCGGCAACAUGAAGAAGGAAUUUCGAGUAAUCGUUGAUCACAAGCGCAACGGUGAAGGUAAAAAAUUCGUGAUGAACUAACUGUCUGUCACUGGGAAGAAGCUCGGGUAGGGGGAAACUGCUUCUUAAUUAAUCACUUUUUCUAAAGAAUAGCUUAAAUUUUAUUAAGUAAAAUUUUAAGUGUUGUUUUAUUGAUAAACUUUUAAAUUUUUAAUUGUUUAUCCUUAUUAGUAUUUUGGGGGGGUGUACACCACCCACCAUUUUUACAAUAUUUUAGUAAGAUUAAACAUCUUUGUUAAGCUUAAUUAGUCUUAGUUAACUCAUCUAAGUAACAUCUCAAAAGUCAUAGCAAGGUAGCUGUACUGGAAAGUGCUGCUGUAAUAUAAAUACA